rnacentral:rRNA from 1 species
AUUGAACGCUGGCGGCAUGCCUUACACAUGCAAGUCGAACGGUAACAGGUCUUCGGAUGCUGACGAGUGGCGAACGGGUGAGUAAUACAUCGGAACGUGCCUAGUAGUGGGGGAUAACUACUCGAAAGAGUGGCUAAUACCGCAUGAGAUCUACGGAUGAAAGCAGGGGAUCGCAAGACCUUGUGCUACUAGAGCGGCCGAUGGCAGAUUAGGUAGUUGGUGGGAUAAAAGCUUACCAAGCCGACGAUCUGUAGCUGGUCUGAGAGGACGAUCAGCCACACUGGGACUGAGACACGGCCCAGACGCCUACGGGAGGCAGCAGUGGGGAAUUUUGGACAAUGGGCGAAAGCCUGAUCCAGCAAUGCCGCGUGCAGGAUGAAGGCCUUCGGGUUGUAAACUGCUUUUGUACGGAACGGAAAGCCCCGGGUUAAUACCCUGGGGUCAUGACGGUACCGUAAGAAUAAGCACCGGCUAACUACGUGCCAGCCGCCGCGGUAA